rnacentral:lncRNA from 1 species
CCGAUAAAAAAGGAUGUGAAGCCAAUUUCCUGUAAUGGCUUUUGUGGGGGAAGCCUUGUUGGUCCCGAUCCAUUGUCUGUGCAGGCUCAGAUGUGGGAGAUCCUUGCCAACUGGGUAUGUAAUUACUUUUUCCUUUCGUUUCCCUCCUCAUUAGUUCUUGUUUAACUUGUCUUAUUCUUAUCUUUAUACGUGUGGUAACUACAAUGAUGGAAUUAUUUUCGUUUGCCAUAUCCAUGAAUAAGAGAAAUCAAGAGAACUUGAAACUGGGA